rnacentral:lncRNA from 1 species
CACCGGGCGCGGCCUGCUGGUGACCCCGCGCCGCGUCGUGUCCGGGUUGUGUCCUGCAGGCCGAAGCGGCAGCCGAAGCCGUCCUCGGAUGAGGGUUACUGGGACUGUAGCGUCUGCACCUUCCGGAACAGCGCCGAGGCCUUCAAGUGCAUGAUGUGCGAUGUGCGGAAGGGCACCUCCACCCGGGACAGCAAGGAAGGGGGGAAGCUGGUGUCCUACUCCACAGCCAGUCUUGGGGUUAGAGGAACCCUGAGAAAUAGAGUAGGUGGUGGCAGCUCAGAAGAGAAGAAACAGGCUGAAUACCUGGCACCUGGAAGAAGAAGGAAUAUAGUACACAGGGGAGUUGGCCCAGGACAGAGAAGUGGGCCUAGUUUAAAAGAGGCUUGAGGCCCACAUGGGGGCCCCUGACAUUUUUUUUUUUUACCAGUACAUCUAAGCUCUUGUAGAUCCAAUUUUUAGUGGUGGAAACAUUACUUGAGGAGGACUCAGAGAAGCAUUGUCAUUUGGAUUGAAACUGAAGAGGCUCUGGGCAACUCACCAG